ACAUGAAGCAGGGUUCAGUCAUGAAGCAGGGCUCAUACAUGAAGCAGGGUUCAGUCAUGAAGCAGGGUUCUUACAUGAAGCAGGGUUCAUUUUCCUCAGCGUCCUGCUCACUUUGACAGAAGCUGCGGUUUCGAAGCAGGACCUUUGAUUGCUUCGAGUC